UGGGGAAUAUUGCACAAUGGGCGAAAGCCUGAUGCAGCAACGCCGCGUGAGGGACGACGGCCUUCGGGUUGUAAACCUCUUUUAGCAAGGAAGAAGCGAAAGUGACGGUACUUGCAGAAAAAGCGCCGGCUAACUACGUGCCAGCAGCCGCGGUAAUACGUAGGGCGCAGCGUUAUCCGGAAUUAUUGGGCGUAAAGAGCUCGUAGGCGGUUUGUCGCGUCUGCUGUGAAAACCCGAGGCUCAACCUCGGGCCUGCAGUGGGUACGGGCAGACUAGAGUGCGGUAGGGGAGAUUGGAACUCCUGGUGUAGCGGUGGAAUGCGCAGAUAUCAGGAAGAACACCGAUGGCGAAGGCAGAUCUCUGGGCCGUAACUGACGCUGAGGAGCGAAAGGGUGGGGAGCAAAACAGGCUUAGAUACCCUGGUAGUCCACCCCGUAAACGUUGGGAACUAGUUGUGGGGUCCAUUCCACGGAUUCCGUGACGCAGCUAACGCAUUAAGUUCCCCGCCUGGGGAGUACGGCCGCAAGGCUAAAACUUGAAAUGAAUUGACGGGGUCAUAGCUGUUUCCU
rnacentral:rRNA from 1 species